GACGAACGCUGGCGGCGUGCUUAACACAUGCAAGUCGAACGGCAAGGCCCUGCUUUUGUGGGGUGCUCGAGUGGCGAACGGGUGAGUAACACGUGAGUAACCUGCCCUUGACUUUGGGAUAACUUCAGGAAAGUGGGGCUAAUACCGGAUAGGAGCUCCUGCUGCAUGGUGGGGGUUGGAAAGUUUCGGCGGGUGGGGAUGGAUUGGCGGGUUAUGAGCUAGUUGGUGGGGUAGUGGCUUACCAAGGCAUAGACGGGUAGCCGGCCUGAGAGGGUGGCCGGCCACAUUGGGACUGAGAUACGGCCCAGACUCCUACGGGAGGCAGCAGUGGGGAGUAUGGCACAGUGGGCGGGAGCCUGAUGCAGCAACGCCGCGUGCGGGAUGACGGCCUUCGGGUUGAAAACCGCUUUCGCCUGUGACGAAGCGUGAGUGACGGUAAUGGGUAAAGAAGCACCGGCUAACUACGUG
rnacentral:rRNA from 1 species